CGAGUGAAGCGGCAAAAGCUCAAAUUUGAAAUCUGGCUCUUUCAGAGUCCGAGUUGUAAUUUGAAGAAGGUAUCUUUGGGUCUGGCUCUUGUCUAUGUUUCUUGGAACAGAACGUCACAGAGGGUGAGAAUCCCGUGCGAUGAGAUGAUCCAGGCCUAUGUAAAGUUCCUUCGAAGAGUCGAGUUGUUUGGGAAUGCAGCUCUAAGUGGGUGGUAAAUUCCAUCUAAAGCUAAAUAUUGGCGAGAGACCGAUAGCGAACAAGUACAGUGAUGGAAAGAUGAAAAGAACUUUGAAAAGAGAGUGAAAAAGUACGUGAAAUUGUUGAAAGGGAAGGGCUUGAGAUCAGACUUGGUAUUUUGUAUGUUACUUCUUCGGGGGUGGCCUCUACAGUUUAUCGGGCCAGCAUCAGUUUGGGCGGUAGGAGAAUUGCGUUGGAAUGUGGCACGGCUUCGGUUGUGUGUUAUAGCCUUCGUCGAUACUGCCAGCCUAGACUGAGGACUGCGGUU
rnacentral:rRNA from 1 species